GACGAACGCUGGCGGCGUGCCUAAUACAUGCAAGUAGAACGCACAGUUUAUACCGUAGCUUGCUACACCAUAAACUGUGAGUUGCGAACGGGUGAGUAACGCGUAGGUAACCUGCCUGGUAGCGGGGGAUAACUAUUGGAAACGAUAGCUAAUACCGCAUAAUAUUAAUUAUUGCAUGAUAAUUGAUUGAAAGAUGCAAUUGCAUCACUACCAGAUGGACCUGCGUUGUAUUAGCUAGUAGGUGAGGUAACGGCUCACCUAGGCGACGAUACAUAGCCGACCUGAGAGGGUGAGCGGCCGCACUGAGAGUGAGACACGGCCCAGAGUCCUACGGGAGGCAGCAGUAGGGAAUCUGCGGCAAUGGGCGAGAGUCUGACCGAGCAACGCGGAGUGAGUGAGGAAGGGUUUCGGAUCGUAAAGCUCUGUUGUAAGAGAAGAACGGGUGUGAGAGUGGAAAGUUCACACUGUGACGGUAUCUUACCAGAAAGGGACGGCUAACUACGUG
rnacentral:rRNA from 1 species